UACGGAGGGCGCGAGCGUUAAUCGGAAUUACUGGGCGUAAAGCGCGCGUAGGCUGUUGUGCAAGUUGGGGGUGAAAUCCCACGGCUCAACCGUGGAACAGCCCUUGAUACUGCGCGACUUGAAUCCGGGAGAGGGUGGCGGAAUUCCAGGUGUAGGAGUGAAAUCCGUAGAUAUCUGGAGGAACAUCAGUGGCGAAGGCGGCCACCUGGACCGGUAUUGACGCUGAGGCGCGAAAGCGUGGGGAGCAAACAGG
rnacentral:rRNA from 1 species